GCACUGCUGACGAGUCCCAAACAUGACGAGACAGAUGUCCGGUGC
rnacentral:hammerhead_ribozyme from 1 species